rnacentral:misc_RNA from 1 species
GAUGAAGAACGUAGCAAAAUGCGAUAAGUAAUGUGAAUUGCAGAAUUCAGUGAACCAUCGAAUCUUUGAACGCACAUUGCGCCCGCUGGUAUUCCGGCGGGCAUGCCUGUUCGAGCGUCAUUUCAACCCUCAAGCCCCCGGGUUUGGUGUUGGGGAUCGGCUCUGCCCUUCUGGGCGGUGCCGCCCCCGAAAUACAUUGGCGGUCUCGCUGCAGCCUCCAUUGCGUAGUAGCUAACACCUCGCAACUGGAACGCGGCGCGGCCAUGCCGUAAAACCCCAACUUCUGAAUGUUGACCUCGGAUCAGGUAGGAAUACCCGCUGAACUUAAGCAUAUCAAUAAGCGGGGA